GGAACUGCAAGUAGACAGAUCUUUUGAGCCCACCGAAUUUUGGAGGGGAAUGGAAAUUCUUAGUGGACUUAGGCAUCCACAUUUGGUACGGUUUCUUGGUGCCAACACACGCAAUGUCGCAGAAGGCACCUUAGGAAUAGUUACAGAAUAUAUCCCUGGUGGCAAUUUGUUUGAUUAUCUCCAAAGAAAUCAUGAAAACUUGACUCUGUCUCAGAGGUUGAAGAUAGCACUUCAA